GCCCCGCCCCUGGGCCGUGCGGUGACACCACUUCAGGGCCGGCCCCCGGAACUUUUGGGCAGGCGUCAGCGCCCGUGUCACCGCCACGUCGCGGACAUGGUGAUUUCAGAAAGUAUGGAUAUACUCUUCAGAAUAAGAGGAGGCCUUGAUUUGGCUUUUCAGCUAGCUACUCCUAAUGAAAUUUUUCUCAAGAAGGCACUGAAACAUGUGUUGAGUGACCUGUCAACUAAGCUGUCUUCAAACGCCCUUGUGUUCAGAAUUUGCCACAGUUCAGUGUAUAUAUGGCCUAGCAGUGACAUAAACACCAUUCCUGGAGAACUGACUGAUGCUUCUGCUUGUAAGAACAUACUGCGCUUUAUUCAAUUUGAGCCAGAAGAAGAUAUAAAAAGAAAAUUCAUGAGAAAGAAGGACAAAAAGUUAUCAGACAUGCAUCAAAUAGUAAAUAUAGAUCUUAUGCUGGAAAUGUCAACCUCCCUGGCAGCUGUAACGCCCAUCAUUGAAAGGGAAAGCGGAGGACACCAUUAUGUUAAUAUGACUUUACCUGUCGAUGCAGUUAUAUCUGUUGCUCCAGAAGAAACAUGGGGAAAAGUUCGUAAACUCCUGGUUGAUGCAAUUCAUAAUCAACUAACUGACAUGGAAAAAUGUAUUUUGAAAUAUAUGAAAGGAACAUCUAUUGUGGUCCCUGAACCACUGCACUUUUUAUUACCAGGGAAAAAAAAUCUUGUAACAAUUUCAUAUCCUUCAGGAAUACCAGAUGGCCAGCUGCAGGCCUAUAGGAAGGAGUUACAUGAUCUUUUCAAUCUGCCUCACGACAGACCCUAUUUCAAAAGGUCUAAUGCUUAUCACUUUCCAGAUGAGCCAUACAAAGAUGGUUACAUUAGAAAUCCACAUACUUACCUUAAUCCACCUAACAUGGAGACUGGUAUGAUUUAUGUGGUCCAGGGCAUAUAUGGCUAUCAUCAUUAUAUGCAGGAUCGCAUAGAUGACAAUGGCUGGGGCUGUGCUUAUCGAUCUCUGCAGACUAUCUGCUCUUGGUUCAAACAUCAGGGAUACACAGAGAGGUCCAUUCCAACACACAGAGAAAUUCAGCAGGCUCUAGUCGAUGCCGGGGACAAACCAGCAACAUUUGUCGGAUCGCGGCAAUGGAUUGGAUCUAUUGAGGUGCAGCUGGUACUAAACCAAUUGAUCGGUAUAACGUCAAAAAUCCUGUUUGUCAGUAACACCCGAAAAAACAAGAAAGUAGGAAACAUUGUCUCCUAGCUCAUUAUUUGACCGUAGUGUUGGAAGUAGUUCAUCUGAUAGAAAAUGGUUUCUUUCUAGCCAAGGUUCAGAAAUUGCCUCUCAAGGACGGGAACUGGCUAAUCAUUUCCAAAGUGAAGGAACUCCAGUUAUGAUCGGGGGAGGAGUUUUGGCCCACACAAUACUAGGAGUUGCAUGGAAUGAGAUUACAGGGCAGAUAAAGUUUCUGAUUCUAGAUCCACAUUAUACCGGUGCUGAAGACCUGCAAGUUAUUUUGGAAAAGGGCUGGUGCGGAUGGAAGGGCCCAGAUUUUUGGAACAAGGAUGCAUACUAUAACUUAUGUCUUCCUCAGCGACCAAAUAUGAUUUAAAAUAUCUUGGAGUCAAAGACUGCAGUAGAGUGGUAUUAUAAAUUUGUGAAUAAAGAAUCAGUUUAAUUUUUCACAUUAAAUCCUGGUUCUAGUUUGACGAUUUAAAUUAUGACCUUUUUCAAAGGUUGUAAAUACUGCACGGAGAAUGUAUUUUUUAGACGUUCCUUUAAUAACUUAAAAGACAAAGCAUACACAACCAGCAUAUUAUAGGCAUGUAAAUACAUGUGUUCUUAAAUGGAUCUUCACUUGGAAGAAAGUUUUUCGUCCUUCUCAGAAGGAGAUUAGACACAACAUAUGGUAAAGCCAAAAGCAGGAGCUUAUAGAUUUGCAUGAAAUGAAGGCGUUCUUCAGACUUCUUCAUAACCCACGUGACAUCUGUUUUUAAAAACACGUUAACAUUAAAAACUUUUUUUUAAAAAGAGUUUUAUCCCCAAACUUCCACCAUGCAGUCCCAUUUUUGGUCUCUAGACUCUGGUAAGUAUAACCAGUACUAAAAUGUUAAUGAGAAUGAAACAAUACUACUAGAAAUACGAGUGUCAGUAUUAAAUGGAAUAAUAAAUGCUAUGCAAACAAGAGAUCACUGCGGGAGGAAAAAAGCAGCAGCUCUGAGUUACUUACCAGCACUUCCUUUUCCCACUGGUAUUUUCUACACUUCCGAGACUCCGUUUCUGUCUGAGCACGGCAACACAAUCAUUCCUGUCAGGGUGUUCACUUGCUUUUAUUGUCUGCAUACAUUUAAUUGUUGUAAGAAACUUGGCACAGUCUGGAAAUCCACAUGACCAAGCGAGAUCUUCAGCUGUUUGCCCGUUCUUAUUACAUAAACUGAAAACAGGAUAAAAACGGAGUGAAAUGAAA